rnacentral:tRNA from 2 species
GGGCCUAUAGCUCAGCCGGUUAGAGCAUCUGACUCAUAAUCAGAGGGUCCCUGGUUCGAGCCCAGGUGGGCCCA